AUUGAACGCUGGCGGCAGGCCUAACACAUGCAAGUCGAGCGGAGCUGCGGACGGGUGAGUAAUGCCUAGGUAUCUGCCUGGUCGUUGGGGAUGACGUCCGGUAACGGGCGCUAAUACCGCAUACUUUUAGCUGAGCCUAGGUCGGAUUAGCUAGUUGGUGAGGUAAAGGCCUACCAAGGCGACGAUCCGUAACUGGUCUGAGAGGAUGACCAGUCACACUGGAACUGAGACACGGUCCAGACUCCUACGGGAGGCAGCAGUGGGGAAUAUUGGACAAUGGGCGAAAGCCUGAUCCAGCCAUGCCGCGUGUGUGAAGAAGGUCUUCGGAUUGUAAAGCACUUUAAGUAGGGAGGCGUUACCAACAGAAUAAGCACCGGCUAACUUCGUGCCAGCAGCCGCGGUAAUUC
rnacentral:rRNA from 1 species